UUAGAUUUACAGAUGUUUUUUUCUGGGCUUUAGACUGGUUCAAAAUUCUGCUUUUUACUUCCGAAAUUUUGGCAGAAAUUUUAGUAUAUAUUUUAAAUUUUAAUAAUUCUAAAGGAUAUUUUGUACAUUACAUAUAUAUAUUUGUUUAUAUUUGAAUCAUAAUAAUAAAAAUGACGGAUAUAAUCUAUAUUUUCUGCAUACUUGGCGAUCUCCUCAUACAAUAUAUAUAAAUAAAAUAAAACAUGAUUAUUUAAGUACACUGUCAAUUUGUUUAUUUGGCUUCUGCGAGACGACAAAAUGGAGAGCGAAAUAUCCAAACAUUUUCUGCAUCACUAAAUGGCCAUAAAAUGUAUAUAGAGACAUUCAUGCAACAAACUGUCCCGCAGACAGCAGCUGAGCCGGAGGCGGGCGCGGAGACGGGGCCGGAGUCACAGACGGGAACGGGGCAUGGUAAAUCAAGCAUGAAAACGGCAAAAAUAACGCUGCGAAUAUUCGCCAAAAUGCAGAAAAAAGCCAAAACAGAGCAUUCAAGAGAGAGAGGAGAGAGAGAGAGUGAAAUAGUAUUAGUGUGGGGCAUAAGCAGUUUGGAUGUCGCUAGCAUUUUUAUGAGUCGUAAAUCGAAGCGAUAAAAUCACACGACCAAAACAGAGACCAGAGCCGCGUUCUUGGCCUGGACUGGCCCCGGCAGCCGUCUGUCCAGCUGCUCGUCUCAUAAGUCACACGAUAAAUUUUGCAACAUUGCGCUAAUGACAACGCCGGAGAAUGGCAGAGACUGACGGAGAAUGGCGAAGGAGGAGUCGCUGCUGGCAGCCGUUGCAAGUCCGAAUCCGAAUCCAAAUCGGCGCCAUUUUGCAACUACAAACGGCGGAAGUUCAUUAUUGUCGGUGAUUAAUGACAAAACAGACGAACGGCAGAACAACAAGACAAGGAUGGCAUGGGAUGCAAAGCAUUGGGAAGGGACGCAAAGAGAUGCUGCGGAUGCUGCUGUACAUAAGUUAGACUCGACUUGCUUGCUGUUGGCAGCUCAGCCAAAGCCGCUCGCUUCCUCUAUGACAUUUAUGGGCUUACUACUUCCGGCUGAGCAAUAAAAGAAGAAGAAGAGGAGGAGGAGAAGGAGGAGGAGACGCACAGCGACUAGCUGUUGACAUGCCCGAAUGUCAUUGAGCGAGUGCGUUGCAUUGCCUCAGCAGUGUCUGUGGCAGAAUGAUUAGCGCGCUGAUUUGGCCAAACGAUUGAGUGCGAAUCGCAGCGAGGCUGCAAGGACUCGCUGCCAACUUUGUCCUUGGCUCUGACGCCUCAGCUAUGCGAAGCUAAGCGCUAUUGACAACGGCACGCACAAUGCGCAAGGAACAAGGCACAGGGCACACCGGCACGGAUGACGAGGAGCGCACGACACGAUGGUGGAACGACAAGUGAAAUUAAUUUCAAACAAUGCAGCAAACAGGGAAGACAACAGCGAGCAGCAUACACGACAGUUGAGCAAAUUAAAUAAAAAUUCCAGCACGAACAAGUCACAACAACACAGACAGGCAAGAGUUGGAUGGGGAUAGAGAGAGAGAUAGAGAGAGAGAGAGAGAGAGAGAGAGAGAGGGAGAGCAGCAGCCACAUCUGGAGCUGUGCUGAAGCUGGAGCUGGAGUUGGAGUUGGAGCUGGAGCUAGUGCCCAGAAGUUUAUUAUCAUAUGGCGCGCAUAACGUCUAACUGGCGGUACGUGCCAGCGAGGAAUGCAAAUAGCUAGCCGAAAAAGCUGUUAGGAGCCAAAAGCAACCAACUUGUCGAAAAUGAUUUCAUUUUAAUUAUGCCAAAGGGCAGAGCAGCGUGCUCAGCCUAACCGAACUCAACUGAAUGGUGUUGCCAGCCUAGCCUAUUUCAGGCUUGAUCUAGCAUAUUUUAAAGUGGACUAGCCUUGUGAAUGACUAUUCCAUUGUGAAUAGCCCAAAGGCAUAAAUUUUACAUAUUUGCAAAUCUUACAAGUUAUCUAGUGCCAUAUACCUGGCAUCGAUUUUUAUUUAAUAAGCUAAUUAUUUUUUGCGGUAUACAAAUAUCGAAACUUGUCAUCUUUUGUAUGUUUUGUGUGCUUGUUACUUCAUCCAACAGAACUGACGAAAUUGUAAAAAAAAGAUCAGCAAAUGAAUAAAUAUCAUUAAGAAGAAAAACAAUCUAGAUAGAAAAGGCAAUUUGAAAACAUUUUAGCUACAUUUCGUAUGAUUUCUUACACUAUUUCAGCUAGCUUGCUAUUCCAGCAUUUAUUUUGCUCUUUCAGAGCUCUAAGACGAAACUGAAACGAGCUCAGCUGAACUGAACUAAACUGAACUGAACUGAACUAAACGGAACGGAACUGAAGCUUACGGCGCCGAAUUAUGCUACAGUACGUGUCGAAAUGUGUCGCCAUUUGGCGUAGUGCAAAUGAAAUCACGUCGCAGCCAGCAGGUGGUGUUGGUACAAACACACACACACACACACACACACACAGAGCCGCCUCCAGCCUUAAGCCACCCACAACUUGAGUCGUCAUUAUCAAUUUGAGUUAAUUGCCGUCGCCGUCGGGAGUUGAAACCUACAAAUUUCCUGUUACUUUGCCUGGCAGCCAGCACUCGUGAGUUGGCCGAUAGUUUGUCGUGAGUUGCUCGUGAGUUGUUACUGUUUUGUGAAAAGUGAAGAAGGAGCAGCAGGAGUCGCACUGUGGAAUUAUUAAAUUAGACACGUGCUUCAUUAUGCC